rnacentral:misc_RNA from 1 species
AAACAAAACAUAAAGAUAGGUGAAGUGAAUAUUGAGAGAUUUG